rnacentral:lncRNA from 1 species
UAAUGGGUGUGACAUCCAUUGUUACUAGAGACCGAGAUCACCUCUGCAUCUCCAUGGGUGUCACGGGAAGGAGUAUGUUAGUGGGGAGGAUUAUAAGCUACAUGAUCAGGAUUCACCUUGGUAAGUGAUGCGAUUCAUGCAACCUCAGUAAAAAAUCAUCCAUCAGUCUUCGAAGGCAACGUGAACCUAUAGUAAGUCGACACUUUUAGUGUCGAACUAUACAAAGGUUUGUUUUUUAAUAACAAAAAAUAGGUGGAAGAAAAGGGGUGUUACAUAAAACAUGAUCAGUAGAUUAUGUCGACACUUUCAGUGACGAACCAUUCAUAUUUAGUAGAACAAAUAUAUAAUAGUAGAGUAACCUUCCUACUGUUGUCGUGAUAAAAAUUCAUUCAAUGCGCGUGAAACAAAAAUUGAAUAAAACCUGUGGAUGUAUUUCGAUAGUCCAUCUGAAAGAGUGUGCGAUUCACAAUUGUGUUUAUUCCUCGAGUGGCGUGAGGGGAGAAUAGUCGUCUCACUUUGAGUGAGCGAUUCCGACACUCGAAUGCAGUGAGAAUGGUCACUAUGAAUGAACUCAAGUGCGUGGUUAUUCCUCGAGUGGAGUGAGAGGAAUCGAGAAUGGUCACUUCGCUCUCGAAUGAACUUCUUGUUGCGAUUCCGAAAGUCGACUCGAAUGAGGUGAGAAGUUCAUUUCCAUUCGAGCGACGAAGUGAACCUCACGUUUAGAUGUGUUCAUCAGAAGAAACGUCAAUCAUAAUAAGCUGCAUUACUUGCGAUUAGGGCGGAACCCUAUUUGUAAACAUUGAGGGUUUAAGUCUAGUAUCUUGUAAACCAUUCAUCUUUUGCAGAGAUUGAUCGAUGUAUAAUUUAAUACCUAUCGAAUCAAAUCUAAUUGCAACAUGUUUUCGAAAACAGUUUCAAAUAACUACGAAUUAAUGUUUUGUUGUCGGUGAAGAUUAUACCUAAUUCGCCCUAAUCGCAUGUUAUGCUGUUUAUGUUUCUGUAUAUAAUCGAGAAUCGAUCUGAGUGUUAUUCAACUAAACUUUCUCACGGACUUGAUUUGUGGACUUGUGGAACAAAAUCAAAAUUGUAUGCACACAUUAUGGAACCGACGCUAAAAGGCCACCUCAAAUCAACUAGUGCUUCCUCCAGCAAGUCUCCCAACAAUUCAGUGGUACUUCAAGAGAUGCGUUGUGGAAUUUCUUCAGAAUUUGUUCCAGGAAAUGCUUGAGCUUCUUCUGUUACUACAGAUUGCUGUUAAAAUUUUUCCAGAGACUAUAGCACCGUUUCUUCAAAAGAUUUUGAAAGGUUCAGUUAUCACUCCAGGCAUUUCCGUAUGGUUUGCUUUAAGCAUUUACCCCAGAAAUUGCUCUAUAAAAUCCUCCAGUGAUUAUCCAGGGAAUCAAUCUGGGCGUGCGGGGACAAAUCACCAUGAUCCAGCUGGGUAUGACCCGGGGCGAGGCGUUCAUCUACGACGUGGCGUCCUGCCCGGACAUGGUGCCGCACGGUGGCAUCAAGGAGGUGCUCUAGUCGGAGAAGGUGAUCAAGGUGAUACACGACUGCCGGAACGAUUCGGUGAAUCUGUUCAACCAGUUCCGGAUACUGCUGAAGAAUGUGUUCGAUACGCAGUCGGCCCACGCCGUGCUCCAGUUCCAGGACCAGGGCAAGCAGGUCUACAAACGUCUCGCUGAACACCCUGUGCGACAUGUGCACUGCCACCGUCAACCCGAUGAAGGACCAGCUCAAGAACGUGUACCGACGGGACCAAACGUACUGGGCCCGGAGGCCGCUGACUCACGACAUGCUUCUGUACGCCGCCGGAGACGUGCUGAUAUUGAUCAACGAGCAGCUGUACCUCAACAUGGCCACAUCGAUCAAGGCGGAAUUCCGUGAGCUGCUCGCGGAGCUGAGCACUGAGCAGAUUUGAAUGCUAAUCCGCCCAGCGGACGUCAAGAUGCGCAAGAAGUAAUGCAAGGUCAGCUCGGAGAUCCAGAACCUUAAGGUGAAGCUAAAGGGUGCCAGAAAGAACGUGUAACGAUGGACGAAAUCCUGUCCAAAACCACCAUGGACCGGAUGGCCAAACAAGCUGGAAGCGAUCCUGUCGGCUGCGUCCCUUCUACCGAACGAUCAGCCGGAGAAGAAGUAGGAGCCUAAGGGACGAACGCCAAAGUCCUCCUCCGUAAUGGUAGGACCCUCAAUGGGUGACUCCAUCAAACCUUCCCGCCAUCAGUCACAACACGGUGCAACUCCAACCCCGCCACAGCAGCCCAAGGCCGAAAUGAAGGAAUAUAGGCGACACAGCAUAUAGACAGCAAAAUCACAUUCGAAAGUAGAGAAGUAUCUAAGAAGGAGAACUAACUAAGCAAGGCGAGCAUUAUUAACCUGUGGAGUAAACUGUGUGUGAACUUUGAAGCGAUAGACCAUACAAGAAUAAUACAUCUUAAUUCCUAACGAUACUUUACAUAGCGAAGGAGAAGAAGGUUGGAAACACGGAAAUGAAAUAUUCUAACAAUAAAAUGUAUUAUUCAAUCUAAUAUAUUAAUUAAAUAUAUUAAUUCGACCUGGGAUUUCUCAUGACGUCCACCUUGAAUAUUAA